rnacentral:sRNA from 1 species
CCAAGUACACAUGUGGCCUCCGCCAGCAGAGCACCAGCCCUGGGCAGCUGCCUCCCUGCUGUAGAGUGGGCGUGCGGUCAGCCCACACUGCACCCAAAAGCCUCAGCUGAGCACUUACGGAGUUGUGUCCACAGGGCCAUCCCAGACCUGUGUCUUCUAGAAUUCAUCAGUGAACAGUUCCUAUGCAGACAGCCUACUCCCACACGUACAUCCAACAGCCCGUCCUGGACCAGGUGGUGAGCUGGAAAGGCUGUGCACGUAGGUGGGUAGACGCUGACUCCACACGUCUUCUCUCCCCCCUUGCAGUAAAAGCUGCACCAUUGGGAUGGUUCUCCGACUGUGGAGCGACACGAAAAUCCACCUUGAUGGAGAUGGUGGGUUCAGCGUGAGCACAGCAGGAAGGAUGCACAUAUUUAAGCCUGUGUCUGUCCAGGCCAUGUGGUCUGCCCUGCAGGUGCUUCACAAGGCCUGCGAAG